rnacentral:lncRNA from 1 species
UGGAAUUCUGUCUGCUCUAAGGAUAAAAAAACAGUAUUUCUGAAUUAAUCUCAUCCUUUACGAAUUUCAAAUUUUCUGUGUUGAGUAAUAACUUAAUCAACCCUUCAAUAAAAUACUCUUGUAGAAAUAUCACUCGAUAUUUCAACCCAUCCUUUUAUUUUCGAUUACGAAAAAGAAUUCGCCAUUACACUAGUUCAUGAAUCAUGACACGAAUUUAAUUUCUAUCAAUAUAUGAAAGAAAGGAUUCUUUUAGAUUGUAAUUGUAUUUUUUCUAUUUUUUUUGUUCCUCUUCUUCUUUCCUGAGAUAAAAUGGGGCUUAAAAGGGGGUAAAGGAUUAUUUCGUUCCUGAUAGUUAUUUCUUUAACUGGCGGAUAGGAGCAUGCUCUGGAUCGGAAUUGUGGGGAGUACUGCCUGAUCGUUUCU